rnacentral:rRNA from 1 species
AUUGAACGCUGGCGGCAUGCCUUACACAUGCAAGUCGAACGGUAACAGGUUAAGCUGACGAGUGGCGAACGGGUGAGUAAUAUAUCGGAACGUGCCCAGUCGUGGGGGAUAACGUAGCGAAAGCUACGCUAAUACCGCAUACGAUCUACGGAUGAAAGCGGGGGAUCGCAAGACCUCGCGCGAUUGGAGCGGCCGAUAUCAGAUUAGGUUGUUGGCGAGGUAAAAGCUCACCAAGCCUGCGAUCUGUAGCUGGUCGGAGAGGACGACCAGCCACACUGAAACUGAGACACGUCCCAGACUCCUACGGGAGGCAGCAGUGGGGAAUUUUGGACAAUGGACGCAAGUCUGAUCAAGCAAUCCCGCGUGCAGGACGAGGGCCUUCGGGUUGUAAACUGCUCUUGUACGGAACAAAACGGUGAGCUCUAAUACAGUUUGCUAAUGACGGUACCGUAAGAAUAAGCCCCGGCUAACUACGUGCCAGCAGCCGCAGUAA